UACAGAGGGUGCGAGCGUUAAUCGGAAUUACUGGGCGUAAAGGGCGCGUAGGCGGUAAUGCAAGUUAGAUGUGAAAUCCCCGAGCUUAACUUGGGAACUGCAUUUAAGACUGCAUGGCUAGAGUAGAAUAGAGGGGAGUGGAAUUUCCGGUGUAGCGGUGAAAUGCGUAGAUAUCGGAAAGAACACCAGUGGCGAAGGCGACUCUCUGGAUUCAUACUGACGCUGAGGCGCGAAAGCAUGGGGAGCAAACAGG
rnacentral:rRNA from 1 species